GUAGUCUCUCCUCUUGAAAUGUUAAGAGACCAUGUUGUACAAACUGUAUCUUUACAAGAAACGUUGCAAUACUCCCACACCGCCGUCAUUUUCUCACUAUUGACCAUGAAAAUAAAUCAAGUUUGUCCAGCAGCACCUUUUCUCUGAAUCAGCAGUUCAGUAUUGCCAGCAUUGACAGAUGUGACACAUCGACCCCUGACCUUGGUGCAUGCCACAUAAUGCCAAUGUUCAGAUAUCUGUCAACAGGGCCGAUUUCAGACAAAAUCAUUUUUCAACCAUCGUAUCAGUGCAUUCCUACCUAAAUGCAUGACAGCAGACCUAAAUAAGUUUCCAAUGAUAUUACGUUUUUAUUUUUUGCUCAUAUUGUGUGUUUGGAUAACCUGCUGCUGUAACACCACAAUUUCCCAGUUUGGGAUCAAUAAAGUAAUUCUAUUCUAUUCUAUUCUAUUCUAUACUUUCUAAAUAUAUAACCCUGUUUUUCAUCAAGUUGGGACACUGUGUGAAAUGGAAACAGAAAGAGAAUGUGAUGAUUUGCAAAUCAUUGAAACCCAAUAUUUAAUUGAGAAUUGCACAAAGAAAACACAUCAAAUGUUAAACUUGAAAAUGGUUUUGUUAUUGGAAAAUGGUUUGCCCAUUUUGAAUUUGAUGUCAGAAACAGGUUUCCAAAAAAGUCAUGACAAUGGCACAACAUCCUGGAAAGUUGUGAAAUGCUAAAAGACAACUGGUGGAAAACCACAAUGAACAGGUUAAUUAGCAGGUUAGUACAAUGAUUGGUAUAAAAAGAGUUCGAGGAGCAGAUGGGGAGGGGUUCAUUAUUCUGUGAAAGACUGUUCAGGGAAAUAGUGCAAAACUUUAAGAAUAACAUUUCUCAACUUUUAAUGAAUAAUGACUGCAUGGGCUCAGGAGCACUUCACAUGAACAUUGUCUGUGAACACAGUUCUUGCUGCAUUGCUAGUUGAAUGCUAGUUGAAACGUUAGCAUGCAAAGAGGAAAACAUAUAUAAACCAGAUCCAUCAAUACUGCCCUGUCUCCGGGCACAGGCUCAUUUAAAAUGGACUGAGGUGAAGUGGAAAACUACACUGAGGUCUGAUGAGUCAAAAUCUGAUAUUUUGUUUGGAAUUCAUGGAUGUCGCAUCCUCAAGGCUAAAGAGGUGAAGGACCAUCCAGCUUGUUAUCAGCAUACAGUUCAAAAGUCAGCAUCCCUGAGGGUAUGGAGGUGCAUUAGUGCACACAGCACUAAUGGUAACCUGCAUAUUUGUGAAGGCCCUAUUAACGCUGAACGCUGUCUUCAGGUGAUGGAGCGACUUGCUCAUAAACCCCAUCCUGCAGAGAGAUCUAUUAACUGUACUGACCGUUACUGCUUGUUGAGCAGUCGCGCCGAUGCUUUCCUCAAUAUAUGUUCUCUCCUCCUCAGUGAUGGUGGGAUGGGCGGCUGGACUUUCAUAAGACACCAGGAACCAGAAGCAGUACCACAUGAUCCCAAAACUUCCUGGGAGUAGGAAGGAAGUCGAAAAAAGGGAACGGAGAAGGCUUUAUAUGAACCCUCCAGGGAUUUGAGUUACGAUGUAUCCCCAGAAGAAGGACCCGUGGAUCAUCCCCACUGUCUCUGGAUCCCAGUCAAACUGAGCUUUCUGUUGGGAAGCACCAGGAGAACAGGACCGUGAGAAACAACAGCAAUCUGUACAUUUAACUAGUUUGACCCCUGAAACCACACGUUUCAUUUUAAGGUUUAAAGGGGGGUAACAUGUCACUAAACUGAUAAACAGUCAAAACAAGUGAUUGAUUUUAUACUUGACCACUGACUGAACACCAACACUCCUUCACAUCACUGUCUGGAACAAACCUUAAGCUCUGCUGAGCAAACACACUGAAAGACUUUAUUAUCAAUCAGUUUCUUGUUUUUAUUAACACCAUGAUUAAAUAUUUAUAACAAUAAAGACACCAUAAACAACCA